AUACAACUUUCAGCAACGGAUCUCUUGGCUCUCGCAUCGAUGAAGAACGCAGC
rnacentral:rRNA from 15 species